rnacentral:rRNA from 1 species
UACGGAGGGGGCUAGCGUUGUUCGGAAUUACUGGGCGUAAAGCGCACGUAGGCGGCUUUGCAAGUUAGAGGUGAAAGCCUGGAGCUCAACUCCAGAAUUGCCUUUAAGACUGCAUCGCUUGAAUCCAGGAGAGGUGAGUGGAAUUCCGAGUGUAGAGGUGAAAUUCGUAGAUAUUCGGAAGAACACCAGUGGCGAAGGCGGCUCACUGGACUGGUAUUGACGCUGAGGUGCGAAAGCGUGGGGAGCAAACAGGG